ACACCAUUCACCAUUGAUAAUAAAAGAAUUUUAGAAGAAAUUGGAUAUUUUAAUUUUUAAAAGAAAUCAUAUUCUUUUAUUAUUAUUUAUGCACGACAACUGGUGCCUUCUGCUUUCUAGUGUUUUGUGAUUUUUCAAGGAUUUGUUAGCUACCAAAGUUUUCUUGAGGCUUAGGAACCCGAAGCUUGUGUCCAUAGUUGGUGUAACAUAACAUUUGAAUUCAAAUUUAACUUAACAUAUAAUUACCUAAUUAAAAUGAGAUACGCUCAGUUAGUCAUGGGACCCGCGGGCAGUGGAAAGUCUACAUAUUGUUCAGCUGUGGUACAACAUUUUGAAAAUGAAAAAAAUCCCGUGACUGUCGUGAAUUUGGAUCCAGCUGCUGAACGGUUUGAUUACAGUCCAACUGUAGACAUACGUGAGUUGAUACAUAUCGAUGAUGCUAUGGAGGAUGAAUUACUCCAUUAUGGUCCUAAUGGAGGUUUGGUAUUUUGCAUGGAGUAUUUGAUGGAGAACUCGGAUUGGCUAAAAGAACAGCUCGGCGAUGAUGACGAUGACUAUGUUAUUUUUGAUUUACCCGGACAAAUAGAACUGUAUACACAUAUGAAAACGAUAAAACAUUUAGCAGAAUUGUUACAAAACUGGGGAUUUAAUGUUUGUUCUGUUAUGUUAGUGGAUUCUCAAUUUAUGGUUGACGGACCCAAGUUUAUUUCUGGUACAAUGGCUGCUCUAUCUGUUAUGAUCAAUUUAGAAUUGCCGCACAUUAAUGUUCUGUCAAAAAUGGAUCUACUCAGUAAAACUGCUAGAAAACAUUUAGACAAUUAUUUAGAGCCUGAUCCUCGUGCGUUGCUUUCUGAAGUGAAAACCAACACGGCAUGGGGAAAGAAAUAUCGAUAUUUGUCAAAACGAAUCGGCCAGAUGAUUGAAGAUUACAGUCUCGUCCGAUUUGUUCCGUUAAAUAUAAAGGAUGAAAAUAGUAUUGCAGAUUUACAACUCACUAUUAACAAUAUGAUUCAAUUUGGUGAAGACCAGGACGUGCGUAUGACCGAUUUCGAUGAACCAGACCCAGAUAACAACGACGAUGGCGCUGAAGAGUUUGAUAUAUGAUUUUCAAAUAGGUUUGUUAAGCUGUUGUUUACUCACCGGGCAAAGUCCAGAACGGUUAGAUCUGUCAGUGUCGAGCACAACGUUAUGUUGCUUACGUCGUUGGCGUAUAGUUCUUGUACGUUCCAGAUUCCGUCCAGCGACCGUAGACCGCACGAGGUCAUCGUUGGUAUUUUCAGAUUGUCCAACUUGAACGCGAAAUCUCUAUAAGCUAAAAUAUCGAAUGGUCAUUUUUCUUCGACCUUUUAUAAGACUUUAACGGAAACUGGAAACUCGGAUUUUGAUAUGAUGGAAAAGAAAUAUGACAAUGACAAUGCCCAAGACAUAGGGGCCUCUGUGAAAAUAUUGGGCGCAUAUGAACCAGAACCGAAGAGUGAGCGAACCGGUAUCUCGUGGGUAUCCGACAUGAGGAUGCAAAGCCAAAAGACCAAACCGAGGGGUGGUCCGACGAAGCGUACCGUCUAUUUUGUACAUUGAAGUUUGCCCGGUCCGGCACGUUUUACUUAUAUCCCGUCGUGGCCAGGGGAGAUCACGUGGAAGUCGACGUGGUUUGGCAUGACCAGUACACCCGAUGUCCAUUAGAAGCGCAUCGUGCUUCUUCGGUCACGCCUCGUCCGACGGUUGCUACCGAAACGAUCGUGUGGAAAAAGAGAUAAUGAAAUCGACGACGUUGCCUAGGGCCUCGCCUUUAGAAAAAAACCGCAUGUAUAACGACGUUAUACUUGGCCACACCGUGUCGUGGAAACGCUGUCGUGGCAUCAGCUGCGGAUGCUCGAUUCGAGGCUCAUCGAAAUACCGGCACAAGCGUUUAGAGCUCGGUUGAGGGGACUAGUGCCGGCGCACAACGGAAAACAGUGUAACGAAUGGUCACCGGAAGCGAACGCCGCCCUAGCAGAUAUGGCCGCAGUCGAUUACUCCAACGCCGAAAGUCUGGACGUGUACUUGCACGCCGUGAACAAAGACGGUGUGCUCAGCGUGACAAUGGUAAAAAGUGCGCGAGACGAAGCGUUCAACAUCAACCACAAACUCGGGUCGACGGGUUGCGCGUUAUUGGCCGAAUGUACGGACGACGACGGGCUAGAACAGUUGGAUAGCAUCGAAUACAGGCCAGAUCUCGUUAGGUCACCGUCGCCGUACGACCGAAGACAGUCGCAUUGUACUGCGGUCCAAGAUUGGCUGCCCGCCAAAUAGUUGUGUAAGGAUUUAAUCGAAGCACGCGUCACGCACGUGGACAACCGGUGUGUGAUAUACCUUUACGACGCGCACAGCGACGCCCCGCGAAUUUUGUUCAAGUUGUCGGCCGACUUGGACCGACUGUUGGCCGAGACCGUGCCCGAACCGAUAGAUUACACGUGGGCCGACGGUCAAACGGUAUUGGCCAAAUACCACGCAGACGACUCGUGGUAUCGCGCAACGGUUUUGAGCGCAGACCACCUGACCGGUGACUACACCGUCCGGUUCGUGGACUAUGGAAAUAUCGAGGUCUGUUCUCGCGACGAUCUCAGACAGGUUGCCACGUACGAGGCGUUGAACACCGCCGGCGACUGUGGCCGAAUCCAGGACGUGCCCAAGUUGUGCCACGAAGGCUAUUUCCGCGCGGUCGUGCCGAUUGCUGCAAAUAACGUGUGGCCCGGGUCUGUGUGCAACUUUGUUCGCAAGGUUCAAACGGUGGGUUUUCUUCCCUAAUUUAAACUUCAAAUCAUUCAUCUCAUUUUUCAUUCUCUCCAUCUCACCAAAGUGUGCCGAUUCUAGCUUUUCCUUUUCUCCCUGCAGCUUUUGACAUUUUUUUACUUGGUCAUCGUAAUUUGAUUCUAGCUUUUCCUUUUCUUCCUGCAGCUUUUGACAUUUUUUUACUUGGUCAUCGUAAUUUGAUUCUAGCUUUUCCUUUUCUUCCUGCAGCUUUUGACAUUUUUUUACUUGGUCAUCGUAAUUCGAUUCUAGUUUUUCCUUUUCUUCCUGCAGCUUUUGACAUUUUUUUACUUGGUCAUCGUAAUUUGAUUUUAGUCUUUCCUUUUCUUCCUGCAGCUUUUGACAUUUUUUUACUUGGUCAUCGUAAUUUGAUUCUAGCUUUUCCUUUUCUUCCUGCAGCUUUUGACAUUUUUUUACU